rnacentral:rRNA from 1 species
UACGUAGGGUGCAAGCGUUGUCCGGAAUUAUUGGGCGAAAAGAGCUCGUAGGCGGUUUGUUGCGUCGGCUGUGAAAUCCCGAGGCUCAACCUCGGGUCUGCAGUCGAUACGAGCAAACUAGAGUGUUGCAGGGGAGACUGGAAUUCCUGGUGUAGCGGUGAAAUGCGCAGAUAUCAGGAGGAACACCGGUGGCGAAGGCGGGUCUCUGGGCAACAACUGACGCUGAGGAGCGAAAGCGUGGGGAGCGAACAGG